CCGCACUUCGGAGAGAAGCAGAUUAGAGCGGGUUCGGAGAAGACUGGACUGUGAACUGUUCCUACUCUUGCCUGGGUGUGAUUGACGACUCCCACACGACAGACAUGCUGGGGAGAUUGCUGCUGGCCGCCGCUGUGGUGCUCGGCGUUAUCCACGGGUCAGCCGCGGAGGGAGAUAUGAAAAUG